CACUGAUAGCCUCCUUCUAUCCCGUGGCCCCAGUGGUCAGGGAACUUGGAGUAGAAGCAGCCUAUGCCCUUCCUCAGCUGCUGGUUUUGUCUCUUAGCAUUGGGAAGUUCUUCCUUCUCUCUAACUUCAGUCCUUGCUGCUAUCCUGCUACACUUAUUCUCUCUUUAUUCUUUCUUGGGAAUUUGGGGGUAGACCGCUGUCUGCACCCCCCUCCCAGGGGAUUGUGCUUGGGGAGGGGGACCUGGGGAAGGCGGCCUGGGAAUCUCUCCCUCUUCCCAGUCAGGUUGGGGCAGGAGGGCCUCUGCUCUGGGGAGAGGGCGGCCUCCUGUGCACACACAUGCUCACCUACCUUGUCUGGUUCUCUCUGGCCCACAGUGGGCUCCACGCUGUCUCGUACCUGAUUUCUGGCCUGGCUUGUGGUGCUUUGGCUCCCUGGCCAGGGGGAGCAGACAGGCACUAAACAGGUGGACAGAACUGUCUGCCGGGCAAAGGAUGGGCACAGAGCAGUCUAAGGAGCCAUCUGGGGAUGAGCAGUACGGAAGGGGUGCCCCAUGGGCUGGCCAUGCCCUUGGCACUUUGGCCCACUGCACCCAGCCGCUCCUGCCUCUUUCUGGCCUUUGGGAGCUAAUCCUGAAGGGGUCCAGUGGGCAAAGCCCCCCUGCUGGCCUUUUGGGCUGGCUUCCCCUCUGCAUCCUGUGGCGCCAUCGAGCAGUGGAGCCGGGCAGGCAUGGGUCGCCUCUCUGUCUUCCCAGCCUGCACCCCGCCACCUCCAGGUAAGCAGGUGGCAAGGCUGGGUGGGUUGCCUUGGGGGAGGGAGGCUUGAGGUCCCUGCUGCCCCCCCUGGAAUAUCCCCAUGGCUCCUUUUGGUGGAAAGAGCACUGGACUUGGAGUCAGACUGCCUGGGUUCAAAUCCUGGCUCUGCCACUAACUAGCUGGGGGUAAGUGACCUUGGGUGGAUCUCAGGACACCCACCCUCAAUGUCCUCAUCUGUAAAGUGAGGACCACAGGAGCAGUAGCCAUUUCGUGCCGAAGAAGAAUUUGGCUGAGCCCCUCCCCUUGUGGCUGUGAAGCCCUUGGAGAAAGCUCCAAAAGUAGAGGGUGACGGGGCCAGGAGUCUCUGGCCUGAGAUUAGGGUGACAGCCCCACCCUUUGAGGCCAGGUCAGUUCAACAAACAGCUAAUAUUUGCCAAGUGCUGACGCUGUUCUAAGCACACGCUCGCGUGAGCUCACUUAAUUUUCCACCACCUCUCUGCUCUUGUUACCUCAUCGUACAGAUGGGCAAACUCACGGGAGGACCCAUGGGACCUGCUCCCAGAGUUUAACGUGGGCAGUGAGAGGCAACCCUGUGUCUGUGCUUCCCGAUAAACCAGCGUCUCUGCCAGCAAGUGGGAGACCACAGUGUGGGGUCGGAAGAGGCCUGAGUUCUAGUCCCAGCCUUGCCUCUGACUUGUUGAGCGAACUCAGUCACCACCCUCCCCUGCCUCAGUUUCCCCAUCUGUGAAAGGAAGGGGCUGGGCUCACCCGCGUCUGACCCCCCCCCUGCCCGCACCAUCCCAGCUCAGGGUGUUUGGUUUGCAGGGAUCACGGUCUCCCUCAUCUUUCUUCUCCCUCCAGGCUGCCCCAAGUCCCAGGGCUUUCUGCGUCCCCCAGAUCAUCUUGACGGAGUGUACCCCCAACCCUCCCUCCCCACCAGAGGCCAGACCUGAGGAACCCGGUCACAGGACAGCCCCCACCCCGCGACCCCGGACCCUGGCUGGCAGUGGGAGGGGCUGGGAUGGUGCACGGGCCCUGCCAGAGGUAGUGACCAAGGCUGCCCAGCCCAGGAGCAGCUUGGCGCCUGAGAAGGACGGGGCGGCUCAGAAGAGACUGGGGACGAGGAGCUGCAUCGCAGAGGAGGGAGGAGCCGGCGUCCCCUGUUCUUGGGGACCAGCCCCUGACGGGACUCUGGAGCUUUCCACUGCUGACAGCCACCCAGAGGAGACCCCCAAGGACACGGGACAGGAUGUCCAACCCAGCAGUGGGGAGCCCAGGGGCCAGCCCGCUGCCGGCCUGGGCUGCACAGUGAGAGGCGCCACCACCCAGCGGAUGGACAGCCUGGAGGAGACACUCCGGGAGCUGGAAGCCACUCUGAGCCAGAUGGGCGCAGCCCUCGCCAUGGGGCCCCCUGGCAGCCCCCCACCCCUGCCACCCGGUCCCC
rnacentral:lncRNA from 1 species